UACGUAGGGGGCAAGCGUUGUCCGGAAUCAUUGGGCGUAAAGAGCGUGUAGGCGGUCCGAUAAGUCCGCUCUGAAAGCCCGGGGGCUCAACCCCGGGAGGCGGGCGGAUACUGUCGGGCUAGAGUCCGGAAGAGGCAAGUGGAAUUCCUGGUGUAGCGGUGAAAUGCGCAGAUAUCAGGAGGAACACCGAUGGCGAAGGCAGGUCUCUGGGCCACUACUGACGCUGAGAAGCGAAAGCAUGGGGGAGCGAACAGG
rnacentral:rRNA from 1 species